CAGCAUUUGAGACUAUGCUAAAUCUUGCUCAUCGUCUAGCCCCACCUCUUUUUAGCUAGGUUCUUUAUCAUGUCCUUGGUGUUCGUCCAGGCUUAUUAUCCACUAAUUGGGCCAUUGUUGAACGAGUUAUGCCUUGGUAUCCAAGCUAAUGGAUUGGCCAAAUCCCUUUCUGGAGUUUAUGCUAAGGAUUUGCACGCCUGCUUGACCGCUAUAAAAUGCAUUCCUUCUAUCCCUGGCCAUGUGCUUCGGAAUGAUGCUUUGAUCAUGACAAGUAUUUGGAUUGCUUGGAAGAUGUCUAUCCCUGGCCAUGUGCUUCAAGCCUUUGCUUCUAUCUUCCAUCUGCUUCUCCAUUACUCAAGGUGAUUGAUAGUUAAAACAAACUUAUAUUGCGGGUGCAUGCUGUGGAAGUGGACCUCAAUGAAAUAACGUUGGGGCAGCAGGUUGCUGAUGAUUCAACAUCAUAUGGAUGCUGCAUUUUGGUCGAAGAACUUCUACAAAAACCUUCAAUUUUCAUUGCUUAUAGGGGACAAAUAAUGCUCAUCACCACUACGCCAUCAUGUUUUCACUACAUCACAUUGUUACUACAUCU